UUGUAGUAUAACUUUUGUUAUUGUUAUUGUUAUUAGUAUAGGGAACCAUAACAGUAUAAUUCUAUGUGUUAUAUGAUUUGGGUAAAUUUGGUCGUAAAGUUAUCAUCACAUAGCUUUUACCAAUAUGUAUUAUCACAAUGAUCACAUUUAAACAUUGUUGCCACAAAAGUGCUUAUAAAGAAAAAAAUUACAUUAAUUAACUAAUUGUGUCUCAACACUAUCACCUUUUUACUGAUUGGGGCUUAUUGGGGCUUGGUACCCUGGAUAGAGCACAAUUACGAAUUCAACAUGACACCGCUAUUGGUGAAACGAUUAAUAAUAAUUUGGUUACUCUUAGUGUGCACCAGACAUCGUAAAAUCAAAGUCCUCUUAGUUACAGUAUGUAGAAAGUUGUUUCAUUUGUCUGGCUGUCAAAGUACAUGCAUGCAUGUACUGUAGUUAUACAGCCACCCACUUCGUCAACACAACUACCUACUGGCCCAGCCCUAGGCACAGAGUAAUUACAUACAUAGGUCACUUCAGGUUAAUUUAGCGUAAGCGCCAUGUUCUUAGCAAGUGCCCUAAAGACAAGCCGUCACUCCCCUGAAAACAUAUUGAAAUGUAAUGUUCCAUGCAAGGGAGUGAAUCAGCAUGGGCGUACCGGAAGGAAAAAAUUAGGGGGGCGGAAAGAAAAUUGCCCGACUUUUCGGGAUUCUGCCCGACUAGUACCAUUAUUUUGGCGACCUCCCCCCCCCCGUCGCCAAAAAAAUUUCGGUCAGUGUACCAUUUUAGGGGUCAAAAAAAUUUUCCGGACAACCAAAAUGUUUCGGAACAUAACACAAAUUUUCGAAAAGUCACAUAAUUUGCCAAAAAAUUGACUUAAUUUUAGACAAAAUUGACUGAAUUUGUCGCAUUUUUUUUAUUGCAAACCAAAAUUGCCCGACUGUUGAUCGAAUAUUGCCCGACUGCCCAAAAAACUGGGGGG